rnacentral:rRNA from 1 species
AGCCACUGCUAUUGGGAUCCGACUAAGCCAUGCGAGUCGAGAGGGUUCGGCCCUCGGCAGACUGCUCAGUAACACGUGGAUAACCUAACCUUAGGUGGAAGAUAACCUCGGGAAACUGAGAAUAAUAUUCCAUAGAUCUAGGAUGCUGGAAUGCAUCUAGAUUGAAAGUUCCGACGCCUAAGGAUGGGUCUGCGGACUAUCAGGUUGUAGUCAGGGUAAAGACCUGACUAGCCUACGACGGAUAUGGGUUGUGAGAGCAAUAGCCCAGAGACGAUAUCUGAGACACGAUAUCGGGCCCUACGGGGCGCAGCAGGCGCGAAAACUUCACACUGUGCGAAAGCGCGAUGAGGGAAUCCCAAGUGUUUGCUCGUUAGAGUAAACUGUUUCUUUGUUUAAAACGCAGAGAGAGUAAGGGCUGGGUAAGACGGGUGCCAGCCGCCGCGGUAAUACCUGCAGCUCAAGUGGUGAUCAUUAUAUUGGGCCUAAACGUCCGUAGCCGGUUUAGUAAAUGCCGGGGUAAAUCGUGUAGCUUAACUAUACGACUUCCGGGUAGACUGCUAAACUUGAGACCGGGAGAGGCUAGAGGUACUCCUGGGGUAGAGGUGAAAUUCUGUAAUCCUAGGGGGACCACCGGUGGCGAAGGCGUCUGACUAGAACGGGUCUGACGGUGAGGGACGAAGCCCUGGGGCGCAAACCGGAUUAGAUACCCGGGUAGUCCAGGGUGUAAACGCUGCUUGCUUGAUGUUGGUUGGGCUCCGAGCCCAACCAGUGUCGGAGAGAAGUUGUUAAGCAAGCUGCCUGGGAAGUACGGUCGCAAGACUGAAACUUAAAGGAAUUGGCGGGGGAGCACAGCAACGGGUGGAGCGUGCGGUUUA